UCCAACCAUCCAAUUUCAAACCCUAAUUUCUCAUCGAGAACAACAAUCAAUCCCAAAAAUGUUGCGACACGCUGCUAAGAGAAUCACAAGGUCAGGAUUAGCCCCGACACGGUGGUCUGCACCGGCGGCGGACCUGUUUUAUCAUGAGAGGGUUGUGGACCACUACAAUAAUCCCCGUAAUGUUGGUGCGUUUGACAAGAACUAGGGUUAGAAUUAACGUCGCCGCCACUGUCUCUACCACAUCCGCUGAAGCAGAACCCUAGAGUUUGGUAGCAAAUGAAGAGUUUUCUCCAAAGGCUUGAGGAUGUACUAAUUAAUAAUCAUACGUUCGGAAGAGUUGAUGUGCAGUUCAAAGAUGAAAAGAAACUGUAGCGAAACAGAGUGAUGGUUCCUCAAGCCCUUUAGAUUUUUGAAUCAGGUUGGCUGCAGGAGCAGGCCUCCAUUGUUUCAAAAAGAGAAUGGAGCUCAAUGGGAAGUCGCCCUCUUUGUGCUGGUGGUGGAAUGUGGACUAUGACUUUUCCUAAGUCAAAAUCAGACAAAUAUUGGGCUUACAUGUUUGAUCAUGGAGAUGAGAUAUGCGAGGCAGUCGUUAUGUGAGGCCAAGAUUGCUGCAAAUAAUUAAAAGAAGUCAAUAAAGGAUGAAAGUUUCCAUUACGCUAUGAAGACCUUGACUACCAAUGCCAACUACAUAGUAGACAGCAAGAAUAAACAUGUAAGCGUAUUUAUAAUUAAUUUCUCAUUAACAUAAUUUUACGACAAGAUUUGAAAGGGGUGCUACUGAGGUAGUCCGAUCUCUUACUACAUUGAGGUAAAAACUCUUGAGAUAAAAAGUAAAAACUAUGAUUGUAGUUAUAGUGUGUUGUAUAUGGGUGUAAAAAGUUGAGCUAAGUUAAAAGCGUAAGUCACUUGAAUCUCCCUACAAGGUUCAAAUUUUAUUUUUGAAUGAUAUCUGGCUAAGAAAGAAGUUAUCCAUAUUUGUGUGAAAAAGAAGUUAUCCAUAUUUGUGUGAAAAUUUUAACAAAUUUGUUUUGUACUCAUGCUAUGGUAGUUUAUGUUUUUUUUUCAAAUAUAUAUUAGAUUUAAACU
rnacentral:lncRNA from 1 species